rnacentral:rRNA from 1 species
AGGAAAUUUGAGAGGAGCUGUCCUUAGUACGAGAGGACCGGGAUGGACAUACCUCUGGUGUACCAGUUGUCGUGCCAACGGCAUAGCUGGGUAGCUAUGUGUGGACGGGAUAAGUGCUGAAAGCAUCUAAGCAUGAAGCCCCCCUCAAGAUGAGAUUUCCCAACUUCGGUUAUAAGAUCCCUCAAAGAUGAUGAGGUUAAUAGGUUCGAGGUGGAAGCAUGGUGACAUGUGGAGCUGACGAAUACUAAUCGAUUGAAGACUUAAUCAAAA